rnacentral:ncRNA from 1 species
AGGAUAGAGGCGCAGCUGUCAUCAGUAGGCCCGGCGCGCAAGGCUUCGCAGGCCGUUGCCGGGAACGAAAGGGGCCGCUGCCGAAGGGGAGGGAGCGCGAACCCGCCCCUGGGCAAACGGACAACAUCCGUUUGACUGCCACUUUUGUGGAGCGCUAUGGA